rnacentral:rRNA from 1 species
UACGUAGGGUGCAAGCGUUGUCCGGAAUUAUUGGGCGUAAAGAGCUCGUAGGCGGUCUGUCGCGUCUGCUGUGAAAACUCAGGGCUUAACCCUGAGCUUGCAGUGGGUACGGGCAGACUAGAGUGCGGUAGGGGAGACUGGAAUUCCUGGUGUAGCGGUGAAAUGCGCAGAUAUCAGGAGGAACACCGGUGGCGAAGGCGGCUACCUGGACAAUUGCUGAC